UAGGCUUAGUACCUGGAUGAUGAAGUGGUC
rnacentral:piRNA from 1 species